rnacentral:rRNA from 1 species
UAGGGAAUAUUGGGCAAUGGGUGAGAGCCUGACCCAGCCAUGCCGCGUGUAGGAAGACGGCCCUACGGGUUGUAAACUACUUUUAUACAGGAACAACAGCAGGGAUGCGUCCCUAGUUUGAGGGUACUGUAAGAAUAAGCACCGGCUAACUCCGUGCCAGCAGCCGCGGUAAUACGGAGGGUGCAAGCGUUGUCCGGAUUUAUUGGGUUUAAAGGGUACGCAGGCGGGCUGUUAAGUCCGUGGUGAAAGCUCUCGGCUUAACCGGGAAAUUGCCAUGGAUACUGACAGUCUUGAGUACAGUUGAGGUGGGCGGAAUUCAUGGUGUAGCGGUGAAAUGCAUAGAUACCAUGAGGAACGCCGAUAGGGAAGCCAGCUCACUGGACUGUAACUGACGCUGAGGUACGAAAGCGUGGGGAGCGAACAGGAUUAGAUACCCCCGUAGUCC